rnacentral:rRNA from 1 species
ACUCAAAGGAAUAGACGGGGGCUCACACAAGCGGUGGAGCAUGUGGCUUAAUUCGAAGCAACGCGAAGAACCUUAUCCAAGGCUUGACAUGCACGGAUUAGUCCGUCGAAAGUCGGAUCACACCGCAAGGUGGAACGUGCACAGGUGCUGCAUGGCUGUCGUCAGCUCGUGCUGUGAAGUGUCGCGUUAAGUCGCUUAACGAGCGAAACCCCUAUCGCUAGUUGCCAACGGGUCAUGCCGGGGACUCUAGCGAGACUGCCGGUGUCAAACCGGAGGAAGGUGGGGAUGACGUCAAGUCCUCAUGGCCUUUAUGCCUUGGGCUGCACACGUGCUACAAUGCGGCUGACAGAGCGAGGCAAGACCGCAAGGUGGAGCAAAUCGCAAAAAAAGCCGCCCAGUUCAGAUUGAGGUCUGCAACCCGACCUCAUGAAGUUGGAAUCGCUAGUAAUCGGGGAUCAGCUACGCCCCGGUGAAUAUGUUCCUGAGCCUUGUACACACCGCCCGU